rfam:Oryza nivara chromosome 4, whole genome shotgun sequence.
UUUAAAUGCAACUAUAAAUUUUCGUGUCUAACUUUGAUCGUUCGUCUUAUUUAAAAAUUUGUUAUAAUUAAUAUUUUUGUUGUUAGAGAUGAUAAAGAUACUUUAUGCAUGACUUAUGUUUUUAAUUUUUUUUAAAUAAGACAGAUGAUUAAAGUUAAGUAUGAAAAAGUAUGGCUACACUUAAA